AUAACGCUAGAGUAACCUAAGGACCAAAACCUAAUUCAUUUUUCCUUUCCGCCGUUCUGGCCCUUCUCCUCUCAGUCUCUCACUGUGUUUUUCUCUCUCCUCUCAAAAACCUUUCACUCUUCGAAUUUUAUCAAUCGAGGCCGCCGGGCCGCCGCUCCUCCUCUCUAUUCUCCAUCUCCAUCAUCUUCUUUCAUACUGAACGAGUCCGCUCGACCGCCGCUCCUCCUCUCCAUCUCCAUCAUCUGAGUUUGUCGAAGUUUUCCAGGGACUAUAUAUGGAUUUUUCAAGUAGCCUGGUUCUCUUCUUAUAGAAAUGUUCUCUGCUGGCUGUUGGUGAGGAUGGUGUUCUGUACCAGAAUUUCAAAGAGCAAGCUUAAAAUGUCUAAAGCUUUUUCCUUGCCUACGUGGCAAAUUAUAUAUGUAAUAUUGGUUAAUUGAGAACUAUUUUAUUUUAUCUUGUGUAAUUGUGUGGAUUAUUUAUUGUUUAUGUAGUUGAUAAUUAGUUAAUCGUGACUCGUGAGCGCUAAAUACUUUAUUUAUACAACAUAUGAUCGUAUAUUUUUCAGUCA